CUGGGUUAGUCGGGACCUAAGGAGAGACCGAAAGGUGUAUCCGAUGGACAACAGGUUGAUAUUCCUGUACUAAAGUAUGUAGUGAUGGAGGGACGCAGUAGGCUAACUAAAGCAGACGAAUGGAAGUGUCUGUCUAAGCAGUGAGGUGUGAAUUGAGUCAAAUGCUUAAUUCUAUAAACAUUGAGCUGUGAUGGGGAGCGAAGUUUAGUAGCGAAGUUAGUGACGUCACACUGCCAAGAAAAGCUUCUAGCGUUUAAACAUACUCUACCCGUACCGCAAACCGACACAGGUAGUCGA
rnacentral:rRNA from 1 species